UACGGAGGAUGCAAGCGUUAUCCGGAAUUACUGGGCGUAAAGAGCUCGUAGGUGGUUUGUCGCGUUGUCCGUGAAAACUCACAACUCAAUUGUGGGCGUGCGGGCGAUACGGGCAGACUGGAGUACUGCAGGGGAGACUGGAAUUCCUGGUGUAGCGGUGGAAUGCGCAGAUAUCAGGAGGAACACCGGUGGCGAAGGCGGGUCUCUGGGCAGUAACUGACGCUGAGGAGCGAAAGUGUGGGGAGCGAACAGG
rnacentral:rRNA from 1 species